rnacentral:rRNA from 1 species
UAGGGAAUCUUCCACAAUGGACGCAAGUCUGAUGGAGCAACGCCGCGUGAGUGAAGAAGGUCUUCGGAUCGUAAAACUCUGUUGUUAGAGAAGAACACGAGUGAGAGUAACUGUUCAUUCGAUGACGGUAUCUAACCAACAAGUCACGGCUAACUACGUGCCAGCAGCCGCGGUAAUACGUAGGUGGCAAGCGUUGUCCGGAUUUAUUGGGCGUAAAGGGAACGCAGGCGGUCUUUUAAGUCUGAUGUGAAAGCCUUCGGCUUAACCGGAGUAGUGCAUUGGAAACUGGAAGACUUGAGUGCAGAAGAGGAGAGUGGAACUCCAUGUGUAGCGGUGAAAUGCGUAGAUAUAUGGAAGAACACCAGUGGCGAAAGCGGCUCUCUGGUCUGUAACUGACGCUGAGGUUCGAAAGCGUGGGUAGCAAACAGGAUUAGAUACCCUGGUAGUCCACGCCGUAAACGAUGAAUGCUAGGUGUUGGAGGGUUUCCGCCCUUCAGUGCCGCAGCUAACGCAAUAAGCAUUCCGCCUGGGGAGUACGACCGCAAGGUUG